rnacentral:rRNA from 1 species
UACGUAGGAUGCGAGCGUUAUCCGGAUUUAUUGGGUUUAAAGGGUGCGCAGGCGGCACGGCAAGCCGGCGGUCAAAUCGCGGGGCUCAACCCCGCCCAGCCGUCGGAACUGCCGGGCUAGAGUGGUCGAGAAGUGCGCGGAAUGCGUGGUGUAGCGGUGAAAUGCAUAGAUAUCACGCAGAACUCCGAUUGCGAAGGCAGCGCACCGGCGCCCUACUGACGCUCAGGCACGAAAGCGUGGGUAUCGAACAGG